rnacentral:tRNA from 1 species
GCGGAUGUGGCGAAAUUGGCAGACGCACCAGAUUUAGGUUCUGGCGCCGCAAGGCGUGCUGGUUCAAGUCCAGUCAUCCGCACCA